UUGGGUCUUGAAGAUCAAAUAAGAGCUUGCUGUAGGAAGAAGCAUAGGUCAGGCAUUUGGCAAUGUGCUAAGGCACAGGGACCUGAGAGGGCUUGGUCAGUUGAGGCAGCAGUGACCAGCGACCGAACAUGGCUGGAAGGGAGACCCUAAGGAAUAGUAGCCUGGAGUGAGGCUUGGGAAGAUAAAUUAGGCCUGGGCUAUUGACACAGGGAGCAACUGAGUCUCAUGUACUCCAGACUGGCCUGGAAUUUCUACCAUAGCCCGAGAGGACCUUGGACGUCUAGUUUUCCUGCCUCUCUACCUCCCAAGUGCUGGGAUUGUAGGUUUAUACCACCAUAUUUAGAUUAUGAAGUGCUGGGGAUUCAUGGCAGGCAAAAAUUCUACCAAGUCACAUCCCCACUUUUGUUUUGUUUUGUUUUUUUUACGGUAAUGGAAGCCCUUUGAAUAGAUGUCUGUAAAGAACUGUAACAGUGUGGUAGUGUGAGGGUUGGGGAGCUUAGCAGCAAGAUGGAAAUGGAGUUAGAGUCUCACCAGGAGAGAUACCUGCCCAUCUCUGUCUCUGACCUUCUGCCACAUUCUCUCACCUAAACAUGGUCGAGCCCAAAGCCGUUACCCGGGCUCUGACCUUAGCAAACCUGUGGUGGGUGUGGGCAUUUAGAUGCCAGCCAGUCUGGAUGGGCAUCAGUAAAGACCCUGAAAAGGUGUUCUAGCACUGGGGUCAUUAGACAAAAAGCCUUCUCUCGAGAUGGAUGGGGAGCCAAGGGGAGUAGUAGUUACAGGGCCCCAGAGACGUAGGUGAUAUUCCUAUUGAUUGGUCUGCAUCCCAUGCCCACUUUGUGUAUCAGGGACAGGCCAUGACAGGACCACAAAAGUCACUCAAGCCUCCAGGUCUGGGCUCCAGGGUCCCAACAGCACUAAACUGUCUCCAUGACAGCUAGGCAGGGCACCCCUCCCCCUUCCCCAUGCCCAAGCACAGGGGUCCAUUUCCAGCAGGGUAUAAAUAUAUCUUCUUAUUUCCCUUGGGUGCAGACAUCCCAGGGCAAAUAGACUUACACUGAGAUUUUGGUAGCAUACACACAUGUUGGCAUUUGAGUCCAUAUGCGCAUACAUACAUAUGAGUGUGUGUGCAUGCAUAUAUAUAUGCAUGAGGGAGUGUGUAUGUGUGUGUGUGUGUGUACCACCUUGCUUUUUAAUCUAAACUUCACAGCUAGCCUAGGUUGUAUAGGUGAGGAAGCUGAGGACCAGAAAGCUAGAGGAUCUUGGCUGGGUCAUCCCACAAGGCAGGAUAAAGAAUUUGAGUCAUUCUUACUCCAUAGGCUGAGUGGUAACCACUGAGAAACGCUGCCUAACACUUCCCUUAUCCUACUAGGAUCCCGGCCAGCCUGUCUCUCAGCCCAUCUCUUAGAAGGGAGUGCUUAGAGUUGGUUUGGCUGCAGAGCCGGACUCAGAGGGUGUCCCCAGCAUCUUCCUUAGUGCUUAGGGCUGUCCCUAUAAACCCUUUAUUCUCCUGUCCCUGAAUGGAGUAGAGAUCCUUUCUUUUCCAUUCUUCUCCAGGCAAUGUGGAAAGAUCCUCUUGCCAGAUGAUCUGGGGAAAAGAGGAGGAGCCCCUCACGCCCUGCUUGGCACCUGCCAGCUUGGGAGGAGCCCAAUGAAUUGUCUGUGUGGCCCUCCCCAACCUCAUUCCUCCCUCUCCAGCCCCCGCCUGGUUGGGGAGGUGCGAAGGGAGCGAUUUCACAGCCUGUCAGCUGAGGCCUAAAAAUACCCAGAACUCUGAGAUGUUUGGGCAAGGGGAGGAGAGAGAGCGUAGGGACCAGGGAUGGGGUGGAGGGGUGCAAUUAAAACUCAGCCAGAGAGCCCUGGUGGUACCAUAGUCCUGCUUGGGAGUGAGGGCUAGACCCUCUGUUCCCAUGUCCCCCAUCUGUCUUAUUUGUGGAAAUGACUAAGGUGGGGCUGGCAUCCCUAGGGUUGUGAGAGCUGAGUUAUGACAGCUAGAACUGAGGGAAGGCUUGGUCCUUGGUAGGAACCAUAGACCCAAAGGCCCCCAGAACCUCAUGCUGAUGCCUCUUUCUCUCCCUUUCCACCCCCGAGUUGGCUGGCAUCUUGAGGCUGUGGGAGCCAGGCUGUGCCUGAGCCUGCUUCCUUCCUGGAGAAGGUGCCUGCUUCUGUUAGAGGAGAGGCGUGAGGAAGGCAGUGGGGAUGGGGGUGCCAGCAGGUGUGUGACGUGGUGAGCCAGCCACCCAGGCACUAGAGGGAAGCAGAGGAGAGAGGGUGUGGUGGCCCACGUCACUACCACGUGGCUAUGCAGUGCAGCAUGGCACGAGGUCUCCACAAACCAACCAGAACCCAGAGGGGUGUGUGUGUGUGUGUGUGUGUGUGUGUGUGCAUAAAUGCAUACUAGAGUUGGCCUCAUCUUGGUGCUGGAAUAUGUGUGGGCAUGUGUGACCCAGCAUGACUAUUCUAGGUACAUACUGAUUAAGAACAGAUGAACAGGUAGGUAAAGAAGGAUAAGCCACAGGCAGGGAAACAACCAAGAACGUGCAGUGUCAGGCAGAGCAUGGGGACGCUAGGUCAAAAUUAGCGAGAGAUUCUGGGCUAGAUAGAUGGCUCAGUUAGUAAAGGGCUUGCCAUGAAAGCAUGAGGACCUGAGUUCAAUUCCCCAGAUAGACAUUUUAAAACAAAAUCCUGGCACAGUGGGACAUCCUUGUAAUCUUAGCACUGGAGAUGCAGAGACAGGCGGCAUGCUGGCCACCAGCCUAGGCACUUCAUUAAGCUCUAGACCAGUGAGAGACCCUGAUUCAAAAAAAAGAAAGAAAG
rnacentral:lncRNA from 1 species